rnacentral:rRNA from 1 species
UACGGGGGGGAGCAAGCGUUGUUCGGAUUUACUGGGCGUAAAGGGCGCGUAGGCGGCACCGCAAGUCGACUGUGAAAUCUCCGGGCUUAACCCGGAAAGGUCAGCCGAUACUGCGGGGCUAGAGUGCAGAAGGGGCAACUGGAAUUCUCGGUGUAGCGGUGAAAUGCGUAGAUAUCGAGAGGAACACCUGCGGCGAAGGCGGGUUGCUGGGCUGACACUGACGCUGAUGCGCGAAAGCUAGGGGAGCGAACGGG